rnacentral:miRNA from 1 species
UUUUAUUGUUAUUGUUUUGAAACAGUGUCUCUGGGUUGUUCUGACUGUGCUGAAACUCACCAUGUAGAUCAGACGUCCUCAAAGCCAAAGAGAUA